rnacentral:rRNA from 1 species
UGACCAGACUCCUACGGGAGGCAGCAGUGGGGAAUAUUGCACAAUGGGGGAAACCCUGAUGCAGCGACGCCGCGUGAGUGAAGAAGUAUUUCGGUAUGUAAAGCUCUAUCAGCAGGGAAGAUAAUGACGGUACCUGACUAAGAAGCCCCGGCUAACUACGUGCCAGCAGCCGCGGUAAUACGUAGGGGGCAAGCGUUAUCCGGAUUUACUGGGUGUAAAGGGAGCGUAGGUGGCAGGGCAAGUCAGAUGUGAAAACCCGGGGCUCAACCCCGGGAGUGCAUUUGAAACUGUCCAACUGGAGUGCAGGAGAGGUAAGCGGAAUUCCUAGUGUAGCGGUGAAAUGCAUAGAUAUUAGGAGGAACACCAGUGGCGAAGGCGGCUUACUGGACUGUAACUGACACUGAGGCUCGAAAGCGUGGGGAGCAAACAGGAUUAGAUACCCCCGUA